rnacentral:rRNA from 1 species
CCUACGGGUGACAGCAGUGAGGAAUAUUGGUCAAUGGGCGAGAGCCUGAACCAGCCAAGUCGCGUGAAGGAUGACGGCCCUACGGGUUGUAAACUUCUUUUGUCAGGGAGCAAUUGGGUCCACGCGUGGGCUUAGCGAGAGUACCUGAAGAAAAAGCAUCGGCUAACUCCGUGCCAGCAGCCGCGGUAAUACGUAGGGAGCAAGCGUUGUUCGGAAUGCCUGGGCGUAAAGGGUGCGUAGGCGGUUGUACAAGUUAGAAGUGAAAUACCCAGGGCUUAACUCGGGUGCUGCUUCUAAAACUGUAUGACUUGAGUGCAGUAGAGGUUAGUGGAAUUCCUAGUGUAGCGGUGGAAUGCGUAGAUAUUAGGAGGAACACCAGAGGCGAAGGCGGCUAACUGGACUGCAACUGACGCUGAGGCACGAAAGUGUGGGGAGCAAACAGGAUUAGAUACCCCGGUAGUC